rnacentral:tRNA from 1 species
GCCGGGGUAGCUCAGCCUGGUUAGAGUGCCAGCCAUUGGCAGUCUUCGGGGCUCUCCAACAGGGCAAUACUCAUAAUCUGGAGGUCGCGGGUUCGAAACCCGCCCCCGGCACUA